UAUCUUUCGCUUGAUUUUGAAUGAUCACGUUUGAUGUUUUUUCUUAUUUUUGAAUCGAUUUUACUUAUGUUUUGGCUAUUAAAAUAUGUACAAAUCAUGUAUUUUAAAUCCGAAGAACCGAUUUCAUUUAUGUUUUAGUUACAAAAUAGGUACAAAUCAGGUAUUUUUAAACCGAAGAACCGAUUGAGACCCGAACCCGAAAGUACAAUGGGUUAUACCGGUUCUUU
rnacentral:lncRNA from 1 species